AGAGGCAUAGCUGGGUCAAAUGGUGGUUCCAUUUCAUGUUUUCUAAGGAAUCUUCAUACUGCUGUCCAGAUUGGUUGCACCAAUUUGCAAUCCCACAAGCAAU
rnacentral:pre_miRNA from 1 species